UAUAAUUUAAAGUAGGGCCUGCCCACUGAUAAUUAUAUUGAAGGGCCGCAGUAUUUUGACUGUGCAAAGGUAGCAUAAUCAUUAGUUUUUUAAUUGAAAGCUUGUAUGAAUGGUUUGAUGAGAAAAUUACUUUUUUUAGUUAAAAUAUAUGAAUUUUAUUUUUAAGUUAAAAAGCUUAAAUAUUUAUAAAAGACGAGAAGACCCUAUAGAGUUUUAUUAAUUAAAAUUUUUAGAUUUUAAGAAUUUUAUAAUUUUAAAUUUUUAAUUAAUUUGAUUGGGGUGAUUAAAAAAUUAAAUAAACUUUUUUUUUAUUAAGCCAUUAAUUUAUG
rnacentral:rRNA from 1 species